UGGUCAAGUUAUUAAGGGUGCAGGGCGGAUGCCUUGGCACUAGGAGCCGAUGAAGGACGUGAUAAGCUGCGAU
rnacentral:rRNA from 1 species